UACGUAGGGGGCGAGCGUUGUCCGGAUUGAUUGGGCGUAAAGAGCGUGUAGGCGGCCAGGUAGGUCUGCUGUGAAAACUCGAGGCUCAACCUCGAGACGUCGGCGGAAACCAUCUGGCUAGAGUCCGGAAGAGGAGAGUGGAAUUCCUGGUGUAGCGGUGAAAUGCGCAGAUAUCAGGAAGAACACCCGUGGCGAAGGCGGCUCUCUGGGACGGUACUGACGCUGAGACGCGAAAGCGUGGGGAGCGAACAGG
rnacentral:rRNA from 1 species